GGAGCCUCCCUCAUAGGAGUGCCCAGAAGCCUGUCACCUGGGUGACUCGAGAUUCUGACAAGUUGACAUCACAUCACACAGUGCAUCAGAGGAGAUGGACGGAGGCCAGGUCCUGAGGAAUUAGGAGGAUGCUAAUUGCAGGAGGGAAGGCUCAGUGGGAGGGCCACCCCAGGCAAAGGGAGCAGUCUAUGCAAAGGAGGCUCAAAGCAUUCAUUAGAUGAGAACACGGGGCAGAGGCCAGAAUCGGAAGAAACAGACAGACUGGAAGAGGCAUCCAACAACCAUUUGGAACCUGUUCUUCCGGGCUGGUGUGUCCCCGGCCGCGGCAAUUAGUCAGACCCAGCCCCGCCCUUCUGAUUCGGAAAGAUACAGUCACAGACCUGGAAACUCACGGGUGGAGCGGCGCAUGCACGCCGUGGUCUAAGGCCGAAGGACAAUGUUUAAGAGGGACACGGUGCAUCAAUGUUGGCAUCUAAGCAGGACCCUGUCCCUCCCCCAAGAUGUUCCCACCCGCUCUGUUGUCCCAGGAGUGAAGUCCCAGAGUCAGGACCAAGGACAGAGCCGUCAUUAUCAGGACCACAGACAGUACCUCACCAGCUAGAGGAGUCAGGGCAAGUACUGGGGAAAUGGAGACAUGGCGUCCCUCCUUCCUGUAGGAUGGUAUGGAGUGAGCUGGUCGGAAGAUCCAGUCAGUCUCACAGAGCGCGGGCAUUCCUUUGACACGCAUCUAUGGAGUGCUGAGGCAUCCGCUUGGUCGGUAGAGCACUCGCUUAGCAUUUAUGGGAAGGUGGACCCCAUCCUCAGCGGCAGAUAAACCGGAUGUAACAGUGCGUGUCUGCGAUCUCAACACUCGGAAUGUGGAGGCAACAGGAGAAAGAGUUCAAGGUCAGCUUGGCUGCGUAGUAAGUUCAAGGCCAGCCUGGGACCCUGUCUCAGAAACAAUUAUGCAGCACGUUUCCAGUGCAGCAAACAUUGUUUUGUACCAUGUGGAUAGCAAGGAUCGUAUCAUUAUCAAGUAGGCAAAUGGGAACAUAAGUUCACAGCGAGAGACAGACAGACAGACAGACAGACAGACACACAGCCUGGAGAGGUGGCUCUGUGGUUGGGAGAGCAGGCUGUUCUUGCAGAGGAUCUGGCUUUCAUUCCCAGCACCAACAUAGCUGCUCACAACAGCCUGUAACUCCAGUUCUGGGGGGGGGGUCUGACGGCCUCUUCUGAUCUCCGUGGGCACCAGGAACACUCGUGAUGCACAGACAUGCAUGCAGACAAACACCCGUACAUAUAAAACAAACACAAACACUAAAAGGGAGGUAAGAUCAUUUUACUUUAGCAUUGACCCCAUGUAACGACAAGGCCUGUCUGAGAGGCAGGGUGACCAGAGUGGAUGCUGUGUUAGUUCCUGUUUCCUUGGGAUGGCACACCAGAGAGAAUCACCUUGUGAGAAGGAAGAUUAAUUCUGCCUCUCGGUCCGUAAUGGCGCAAGCAUGGCAGAAAGCACGGUGGUAGCAUUGGGAUGCCUCUUCAGUUCUGAGUGGGUCGGACGACAGAGACAGAGGUGAACGACGGCUCUCUACGGGCUCCCCUCCCCCCAAGGUUGUUCGUUCGAGGCUCCCAGAGCACAAGUUAUCCCUCGGGGUGCUUCUGUACCCUUCUCAGCCUGUCCUCUCUGAAAACACCGUUGUUACAGACAGUGGGUCUGCUUAGGGAUAUCUAGGGUCCUCUGGUCCAGG